AUGAAUUGGUCACAGGUAUACACAUGCCCCUCCCUCUUGAAGCUCCCUCCCAUCUCCCCGCCCACCCCACCACCCCACCCCUCUAGGUUGAUAUGGAGCCCCUGUUUGAGUCUCCUGAGCCAUGCAGCAAAUUCCCGUCGGCUGUCUCUUUUGCGCACAGGAAUGGACAUUUCCGUGUUACUCUCUCCGUGCGUCUCCCCCUCUCCUCCCCUCUCCCUGUGCCCACAGGGGUGCGCUUUCAACAUGAGCUGCGGCUUUGCAAAGGAGCAUGUCUCCAGUGUGGUCAGAAAUGUCACAGGUGGGCAGACUCCAAGACCCAAACCAGGAAGAACCAGCGGCGCUGGAAGAGACAGGUUUGUAGACUACUUCGCGAUGAUUGCAGACAAGCUGCUCGGUGGAACGCGCAUUCCACGCGUUCUGCUUUUGCCCCUGCCUUGAAAUUGCCUUCCAGUUACAGUGUGCCAGAAACUAGCCGACCUGACCUUCCGAUCAAGCCUGGAAGAGCAACAGGUCACCAUUAGCCGGACAUUCUCACCGGGUCCCCUCUAAGGGGUUAGGUACAGCGUCCGUCUCUGGACUUUGCGCUGCAGUGAUAGGUAGCUGUAUUUUAUUUUUUACACAGUUGUAACAGGUUGCAUUGUAUUUACAGGUUUUUUUGAAAAAAAUUAUUAGGUAUAUUCCCCGUGUGGUACACAGCAUCCUUGUAGCCUGUCUUAGGAACAGUAGUUCGUACCUCCCCUCCCCCACCCCCCACAGAGCCCCCCCCCCCCCCCCCCCCCCCAAGACUGCAGGGCGUUUCCAAGACCAGCUUGACUUUCACGCUGCAUGAUACAUUUUUUUUUAGAUGUCACAUAUGAAUGAUAUUGUAUGUAGGUCUGACUUAGUUCAUUUAGUAAAGCGGUGUCCAAGCCCAUUCCAUAUUGCUGCCGGUGGCUUUGUAUUCUUUUUAUAGCUGAGUGAUAAUCCACUACACACGUUCACACACACACACACAGGCACACACGCUCCGGGUCUUUGUUGUCCAUUUGUCUGUGAAUGGACAUCUAGGGUGCUUCCGC
rnacentral:lncRNA from 1 species